rnacentral:rRNA from 1 species
GCCUGAUGCAGCAACGCCGCGUGCGGGAUGACGGCCUUCGGGUUGUAAACCGCUUUUAGUAGGGAAGAAGGGCUUCGGCUUGACGGUACCUGCAGAAAAAGGACCGGCUAACUACGUGCCAGCAGCCGCGGUAAUACGUAGGGUCCGAGCGUUGUCCGGAAUUAUUGGGCGUAAAGAGCUCGUAGGCGGUUUGUCGCGUCUGCUGUGAAAACUGGAGGCUCAACCUCCAGCCUGCAGUGGGUACGGGCAGACUAGAGUGCGGUAGGGGAGAAUGGAAUUCCUGGUGUAGCGGUGGAAUGCGCAGAUAUCAAGAGGAACACCGAUGGCGAAGGCAGUUCUCUGGGCCGUAACUGACGCUGAGGAGCGAAAGCGUGGGGAGCGAACAGGAUUAGAUACCCUGGUAGUCCACGCCGUAAACGUUGGGCGCUAGAUGUGGGGACCUUUCCACGGUUUCCGUGUCGUAGCUAACGCAUUAAGCGCCCCGCCUGGGGAGUACGGCCGCAAGGCUAAAACUCAAAGGAAUUGACGGGGGCCCGCACAAGCGGCGGAGCAUGCGGAUUAAUUCGAUGCAACGCGAAGAACCUUACCAAGGCUUGACAUAACCGAGAACGCCCUAGAAAUAGGGAACUCUUUGG